rnacentral:rRNA from 1 species
UAGGCGUAAAUGAUGCGAGUUAAGUGUGGGGGCAUCUACGAGAUGGCCCUGUGCUGUAGGGUAGCCGUUAAACUCGCUGCCUGGGGAGUACGGUCGCAAGGCUGAAACUUAAAGGAAUUGGCGGGGGAGCACCACAACGGGUGGAGCUUGCGGUUUAAUUGGAUUCAACGCCGGAAAUCUUACCGGGACCGACAGCAACAUGAAGGCCAGGCUGAAGACUUUGCCGGAUUAGCUGAGAGGAGGUGCAUGGCGUGUGACUGU